rnacentral:sRNA from 1 species
AAGUGCUGGGAUCAAAGGUGUGCGCCACCACCACCUGGCUUACUCUAGGUAUGUUUAAUGUGCUAUGACAACCAAAAUUUAGUUGAAAACCUGCCAUGUUCUCUGAAACUGUUCCUGAAGAAUACAUGUGGCUGUUCAUAAAUUAGUGAACUUAGCCAAUUUUGUAAAUUGCUUCAAGAAAGUCUAUAUAACAGAGUGAAUUCCAGUACUUAACCCUCAAUAAAUCGUUAAACAUCAAUUGUGUACCAAACACUCUACGUAGGCUGUAAAGAUAGAAGUGAUCAGGAAAGAUCCCCAAACUCAUCAAUUCAGGGGAUAAUUUCACCAGCGCCUGGAAGAUUUUUUGAUUUUACCUUCCAAGGAAAAAGCAAAAAUGUAACAUAUUUCUUUGAAGACCACAGGAAAACCAAAACCAAAACCAAAAAAAAAGUAGUUUCCCAAUACUUCAUCAGUCCACAUAUCCAAAAACGUAUCCCAUGCUCUUUCACUCCCAGUCAGAAGGACAGGAAAAGGGACACACUUGAUAUCUUGGAUCUAGUGAAGGUUAAUGGUCUUUAUUCCUUGAAUGCCUUCUAGCAUCCAGAGUUUAGACAUCUAGAUAAAUCUCACUGAGAUUCUUUAAUGAUCCAUAGUGUUUGGGGUUGUCAUGGAUGAUACAUGAAGUAUUCAAUAAUGGAUAUGACUUGGCAAUUGUUCAGUCAGAAAGGGUAUUAAUCACAAACAACCAGCUGAGCUAUUUUAAUAUGAACUAACUAUGUGUAAGCCCCAAAGGCCAAGUCAUGUUUUCUACAUAAAUGUUCAAGUUAACCCUAAAGUUUGUGCAGAGGGUCCAUUGCGAAUGCAGGUCUCUAAAAUGAAAGGAUUUAUUAGCCCAGUAUUGCUCUCACUUGUGUCUACCUUUGCCCUUCAGCUUAGUAGCUGCUGCAGGAUUCCAGGACUGCUAAGAUGAACCUCUUUCCUUUCAGUGUUCCCUCUCCAAUGUCUGACUCUUCCCGAAGCUUCCAAGGAUCCCAGGAUGAUCCCUGUGGGGAUCCAAACUCAGGUCCUCGCGUUUGCAAGGCAUAUGUUUUGCUGAGCUCUCUCCCAAGCACAGCAUCUGCUUUUACUGAGGAAACCUUUUAUUCCAGAGAAUAGAGUAAGCGUUCUGAUGAGCUGAGCAGAAGUAGCAGGCUUUACGGACAGAGCAUCCCCGAGGGAGGCAGAAGCAAGGAGCAAGGCAUAGAUUUGCGCCUCAGCUUUGGUUCUAAAGAUGCUUUCCCUAAAAUCUCGGGCCAGGAGACAGAGCAACAGCAAGAGGGAGAAUAGAGGAUGUGAUACUGACACCUAGUGGGUAGAGCGCGAGGAUGCUGUGAAGUGAGCAGAACAACACAUCUGGACAAGCUCUUACCUACAGUGGGAACUUAGAAACCGUAUGUCAAGUGAGUC